rnacentral:rRNA from 1 species
GGUUAAGUGAAUAAGGGCGCACGGUGGAUGCCUUGGCACUAGGAGCCGAUGAAGGACGGGACUAACACCGAUAUGCUUUGGGGAGCUGUAAGUAAGCUAUGAUCCAGAGAUUUCCGAAUGGGGGAACCCAAUAUCUUUUAUAGGAUAUUACUUUUCAGUGAAUACAUAGCUGAUUAGAGGUAGACGCAGAGAACUGAAACAUCUUAGUACCUGCAGGAAGAGAAAGAAAAUUCGAUUCCCUGAGUAGCGGCGAGCGAAACGGGAAGAGCCCAAACCAACAAGCUUGCUUGUUGGGGUUGUAGGACUCCAAUAUGGUAGUCUGUUAGUAUAGUUGAAGGAUUUGGAAAAUUCCGCUAAAGAGGGUGAAAGCCCCGUAAACGAAAUGCUGACAACACCUAGGAGGAUCCUGAGUACGGCGGAACACGAGAAAUUCCGUCGGAAUCCGCGGGGACCAUCCCGCAAGGCUAAAUACUCCCUAGUGACCGAUAGUGAACCAGUACCGUGAGGGAAAGGUGAAAAGCACCCCGGAAGGGGAGUGAAAUAGAUCCUGAAACCGUGUGCCUACAACAAGUCAAAGCUCGUUAAUGAGUGAUGGCGUGCCUUUUGUAGAAUGAACCGGCGAGUUACGAUUGCAUGCGAGGUUAAGUCGAAGAGACGGAGCCGCAGCGAAAGCGAGUCUGAAUAGGGCGAAUGAGUAUGUAGUCGUAGACCCGAAACCAUGUGAUCUACCCAUGUCCAGGUUGAAGGUGCGGUAAAACGCACUGGAGGACCGAACCCACGUACGUUGAAAAGUGCGGGGAUGAGGUGUGGGUAGCGGAGAAAUUCCAAACGAACUUGGAGAUAGCUGGUUCUCUCCGAAAUAGCUUUAGGGCUAGCCUCGGAAUUGAGAAUGAUGGAGGUAGAGCACUGUUUGGACUAGGGGCCCAUCUCGGGUUACCGAAUUCAGAUAAACUCCGAAUGCCAUUCAUUUAUAUCCGGGAGUCAGACUGCGAGUGAUAAGAUCCGUAGUCGAAAGGGAAACAGCCCAGACCACCAGCUAAGGUCCCAAAAUAUAUGUUAAGUGGAAAAGGAUGUGGGGUUGCACAGACAACUAGGAUGUUGGCUUAGAAGCAGCCACCAUUUAAAGAGUGCGUAAUAGCUCACUAGUCGAGUGACCCUGCGCCGAAAAUGUACCGGGGCUAAACAUAUUACCGAAGCUGUGGACUACACCAUUAGGUGUAGUGGUAGGAGAGCGUUCUAAGGGCGUUGAAGGUCGAUCGUGAGGACGGCUGGAGCGCUUAGAAGUGAGAAUGCCGGUAUGAGUAGCGAAAGACAGGUGAGAAUCCUGUCCACCGUAUGACUAAGGUUUCCUGGGGAAGGCUCGUCCGCCCAGGGUUAGUCGGGACCUAAGCCGAGGCCGAUAGGCGUAGGCGAUGGACAACAGGUUGAUAUUCCUGUACCAGUUGUUUUUGUUUGAGCAAUGGAGGGACGCAGUAGGCUAAGGAAUGCAUGCGAUUGGAAGUGCAUGUCCAAGCAAUGAGUCUUGAGUAGAGUUAAAUGCUUUACUCUCUAAGGACAAGUUGUGACGGGGAGCGAAAUAAUAGUAGCGAAGUUCCUGAUGUCACACUGCCAAGAAAAGCUUCUAGUGAGAAAACAACUGCCCGUACCGUAAACCGACACAGGUAGUCGAGGAGAGUAUCCUAAGGUGAGCGAGCGAACUCUCGUUAAGGAACUCGGCAAAAUGACCCCGUAACUUCGGGAGAAGGGGUGCUGACUUCGGUCAGCCGCAGUGAAUAGGCCCAAGCGACUGUUUAUCAAAAACACAGGUCUCUGCAAAAUCGUAAGAUGAAGUAUAGGGGCUGACGCCUGCCCGGUGCUGGAAGGUUAAGAGGAUGGGUUAGCUUCGGCGAAGCUCAGAAUUGAAGCCCCAGUAAACGGCGGCCGUAACUAUAACGGUCCUAAGGUAGCGAAAUUCCUUGUCGGGUAAGUUCCGACCCGCACGAAAGGCGUAACGAUUUGGGCACUGUCUCAACGAGAGACUCGGUGAAAUUUUAGUACCUGUGAAGAUGCAGGUUACCCGCGACAGGACGGAAAGACCCCAUGGAGCUUUACUGUAGUUUGAUAUUGAGUGUUUGUACCACAUGUACAGGAUAGGUAGGAGCCGAUGAGACCGGAACGCUAGUUUCGGAGGAGGCGCUGGUGGGAUACUACCCUUGUGUUAUGAA